CAGCAGCCGCGGUAAUACGUAGGUGGCAAGCGUUAUCCGGAAUCAUUGGGCGUAAAGCGCGCGUAGGCGGUUUGUUAAGUCUGAUGUGAAAGCCCACGGCUCAACCGUGGAGGGUCAUUGGAAACUGGAAAACUUGAGUGCAGAAGAGGAAAGUGGAAUUCCAUGUGUAGCGGUGAAAUGCGCAGAGAUAUGGAGGAACACCAGUGGCGAAGGCGACCUUCUGGUCUGUAACUGACGCUGAUGUGCGAAAGCGUGGGGAUCAAACAGGAUUAGAUACCCCUGUAGUCCCUGUCUCUUAUAC
rnacentral:rRNA from 1 species